GUUGGUAAAAUAAAAAUACCUUUAAAAAAAAAUUAUUAUACUUUAGUCUAGGCUUUUGCAACUCAAUGUCCUCUGCUUCCUUUUCAGAUAUAGGAUAGUGGCUUAUUUAGAUACAGAUGUUGGACAGCCAGAGUUCACGACUCCUGGCUCUCUCUCACUACAUUUCAUUGAUGAACAAAUUCUAGGUUUAGAUUUGAUUUUCAGGAAAUUGGGUGUAAAUGCUUUGAUGUUUAUUUAAUGGCGUACUGACAUUUGAUCCUUGGUGGGUGUCUUAAGUCAGUUGGAUUGUUAAAGUUUCUUCUUCAUUGGUUCUCCCUUCUGUCACAAUUCACCUGCAAAUUCAGGAUUUUCCAGUUCUUAAUGCUACCAUACUUGGUUUGAUAGCUAGAACCAUUUUUGGAUAUCUCUAACAUACUUAUUUAUGUUGACUAUAACAAAUUCUGGGCAUUGCACCUGGGCUCAAUCUUCUUUUUGGACUGGACCUGUUCAUAUGUGUCUUUUUGUCUCCAAUUGAUGCUGUGCUAUUUCCACUAUUUAUCACCCUCUUGGUGAGAUUGACUCUUCUAUCUAGCAUUGAUGCCAAUUAGUUAUAUACGCAUAUCUUGAUGGUUGUAACUGGUGCUUGGUUUUCAGGACAAAUGCAACAUGGAAAAGUUGUUUGGAUAUCUCUAAAAAAAUUGUAUUUAGGAUUUUGCUUCUUUGUAGUCGGGCUAUCGGCAUAAUCCUUGGUGAUAUGAUCCAGACCACCACAUUUGAAGCAACCUCUGCCUGUGUCCAGAGUAGAAAAUUUUUCUGAAUGUUUCAGUUAAAACUGAUGGGUAACUCCUGUUUUGUUGAAGUCAUACAAGAAGUUGCUACAUGGUUUCUUCUUUAUGGAAAUUUAUUUAAUUGAAACCACAAUGUUUUCCUUAUUUUUCCACAUCUUUGAUCAUGUUAAAAGGGUUCUCCACUAAUACAACUUUUAAAUAAACUGCACUUGUGAAAGCAAUUUUAGUAAUUAUGUAAUUUGUUUGUCAGUGGUUCACUAUGAAGAGAUCUAGCAGAUUGUUUGUCAUUGUGAUCUGUUUUUGUUGCAUGAUUGCUCUGAUAAGCUUUUGUCAAUUUUGGGGUGGAGUGCUAGUUGGAUGAAUGAUUUGCAUUGAAGUCCUAGAUUUAAAAUGCUAUUUGUUGCAUAUCCAAGGGUACUUUGUAAUUUAUCCUUAUUUUUAUUAACAUAAACAAUGAAGAUUAGAAAUAUACAGGUAAAGGUUGUGCUAACUUCUGAUUGUUGAUCAGUUAUGUUUUUGUUUGUUGUCAUAAUUUUUAUGAGAGAUUUACCUGAUCCAGCUUGCUGAACCAUCUGGUUUUAGUUCUGAGCUUCAUGUCAUUCUUUAAUUAAUUGUGGGCUUUUUUAUUAUAUUACUGUUCUUUCAGGAGAAUCUACAAAUGAAGUGGUGAGCUGUCACAGUUUCUGCUUCAGUUAUUUGCUCUAAGAAUGCAACUAUCGAGGGAUUUAAGUCUUGGAAUUACUGGAAGAUGCCUGUACCAAACAUGGACUGUUGAGCCAUGAUGGUAUGAUGCAUAUAGGCUUCUUCUCUUUUCUUUUGUAGGUUAUUAAAAAGAAAAAAAAAAAUCGUUCUUGUUACUUCUGAUCAAUUACUAGAGGUUAUAAAAAGUGUCUCAAAUUUUUAAGUCUUCAUUAUAUUAUAAAUUAGAGGUACAAUUGAUCU